rnacentral:lncRNA from 1 species
UAAAAGCUUGCCUGCAUGAGACUCUGCUUUUGAAACUGUUUUUGUUACUCUGUAAAUGGACCCAAGAAAUCCAUAAACUGAAAAUUUCUGCAUCAAUCAAUUUCUGCACAGGAACUGUCCUGAUGUGAAAGAGCAUGCUUUGACUCCUUGGGGCAUGUGGUGAUUUCUGCUAAGGGAAUACCUGCGUUUGAGCAACUGAUCUGAGAGCACAGACCCUCCAAGGGUAAUUUUGCACUUCUCGACCACUGCCACUUGCUGAAAGCUCUGGAAUAGGGGUUGUUGGUCACCUGGGAAGUUACAGCAUAGUGGGACUGCUGCACAACAGCAACACAGGCUCCACCCCUUGGGCCUGAAUGGGUGAAGUUUAGGAAGCUCCUUGCAAAGGGCCCUAUCCACAGACGUAAAAAAAAGCACUGGGAAAGAGAUGUUUGAGACUGGAAAUGCCCCUGACUGUUGAAACAGAACUCUGAGAAGGUUGAUGGUGAUGGUGAUAAAAACACAGUCAAGGUUAGAUCUCUGGGCACUACUGCAGUGAAUUAUACAAACAAGAAUAAUAACCA